CGGGCGGACGGGUGAGUAACGCGUGGGUAACCUACCCUGUACACACGGAUAACAUACCGAAAGGUAAUGCUAAUACGGGAUAAUAUAUUUGAGAGGCAUCUCUUGAAUAUCAAAGGUGAGCCAGUACAGGAUGGACCCGCGUCUGAUUAGCUAGUUGGUAAGGUAACGGCUUACCAAGGCGACGAUCAGUAGCCGACCUGAGAGGGUGAUCGGCCACAUUGGAACUGAGACACGGUCCAA
rnacentral:rRNA from 1 species